GGGCCAUCUCAGACUUUAGAGAACUGGAGCAUUCCCUUCAGCGGGAGUUAGAGAAAAGCUUUUCCUACCUGGGCAACACCAAUCCCGGUUUUACCCAUGAAUCUACUGCAAGACGGUGAAACAUAUUAUGUGAGGUCAAAGUUUAGCAAGAAUCAUCAAUCCAAACUGGUCUAUCCAUUAAAUGCAACAUGCUCUGGCAACAAAGUCCAGAUGGACUUCUCAAUACAUUAGGAGUCAAAGCCUUUUGGAAAACAAUCACUGAAGGUAGAAUUUUGGACGGCAAACAAUGGAUGAGAAAAAACUCAAUUUCCUUGAGAUUAUAUAAUCUUCUAUUGUGCAUGUCUGGAAAGAAGGCCCAGAUACUACAACUUGAUGUGUCCAUUACAUGAUCCUGUGGGAGA